rnacentral:ncRNA from 1 species
GAAGGAAGGUCCUUCGAAAUCGGCUUUCAGGAGCAGGUUUCAAACCACCUUAAGUGGCUCUAUUAAAGAGAUAAGGUCAUAAGCGUUAAGGAAAAAUCAGCAUAUAAGCUGGAAGGU